rnacentral:rRNA from 1 species
AUGAUUCCGCACCUGCAAACUGGAUCUGAUGGAUACCUUGGUUCCGCGGUUGCUCCUAUGGACCAGGUGGAAAUUGCAAAGUUUUGCAAACAACUGAGAUCGCUGAAGCACGUUGAUAUCAUUGUGAGGCCUGUCAAGCUAAAGAAAGAAUACCAAAUCCACAAGUGUUGUGAUGUGAUGCAGCGAUGGCGGGCGUUUUGUGAUUACCUCUUCAAGCUUUUGCUUAUUGGAGACUCAGGUGUUGGCAAGUCAUGUCUGCUGUUAAGAUUUGCUGACGACUCAUACCUGGAUAGUUACAUCAGUACUAUUGGAGUUGAUUUUAAAAUAAGGACCGUGGAGCAGGAUGGAAAGACUAUCAAGCUGCAAAUCUGGGACAUUGCUAGGCAAGAACGUUUUAGAACUAUUACCAGCAGCUACUACCGAGGGGCCCAUGGGAUUAUUAUCGUCUAUGAUGUGACAGACCAAGAUAGCUUCAACAAUGUGAAGCAGUGGUUGAACGAGAUUGACCGCUAUGCCAGUGAGAAUGUGAACAAGCUUCUGGUGGGGAACAAAUGUGAUCUGGCUGACAAAAGAGCUGUGUCAUAUGAAACAGCAAAGGCAUUCGCUGAUGAGAUUGGCAUUCCAUUCAUGGAGACCAGUGCAAAGAACGCCCUGAAUGUUGAACAGGCUUUCAUGGCCAUGGCUGCUUCGAUCAAGGAUAGGUUUGGACCCACACUGAAACUAGCAUUCAUGAUGGUUUAUAUUAACGUGCUAGUCUAUGAACUUUAG